rnacentral:rRNA from 1 species
UGGCUCAUUAUAUAAGUUAUCGUUUAUUUGAUAUUGCCUAUCCUACAUGGAUAACAGUGGUAAUUCUAGAGCUAAUACAUGCUGAAAAUCCCAACUUCGGAAGGGACGUAUUUAUUAGAAUCAGAACCAAUGCCCUUCGGGGUUCCUUGGUGAAUCAUGAUAACUCCACAGAUCGCAUGGCCUUGCGCCGGCGAUGGCUCAUUCAAAUUUCUUCCCUAUCAACUUUCGACGGUACGGUCUUGGCCUACCGUGGUUGUAACGGGUGACGGAGGGUUAGGGCUCGACCCCGGAGAAGGAGCCGGAGGAACGGCUACUACAUCCAAGGAAGGCAGCAGGCGCGCAAAUUAUCCAAUCCCGACACGGGGAGAUAGUGACAAUAAAUACCGAUACAGGGCUCUUUUGGGCCCUGUAAUUGGAAUGAGUACAAUUUAAACCUCUUAACGAGGAACAAUUGGAGGGCAAGUCUGGUGCCAGCAGCCGCGGUAAUUCCAGCUCCAAUAGCGUAUAUUAAAGUUGUUGUGGUUAAAAAGCUCGUAGUCGAACCUCGAGCCUGGCCGGCCGGUCCGCCUCACCGCGUGCACUGGUCUGGCCGGGUUCUUCCCUCUGCGGAACCGCAUGUCCUUCACUGGGCGUGUCGGGGAGGCAGGACUUUUACUUUGAAAAAAUUAGAGUGCUCAAGGCAGGCCAAUGCUCGAAUACAUUAGCAUGGAAUAAUAGAAUAGGACGUUGGUUCUAUUUUGUUGGUUUCUAGGACCGCCGUAAUGAUCAAUAGGGACGGUCGGGGGCAUCAGUAUUCAGCCGUCAGAGGUGAAAUUCUUGGACCGGCUGAAGACUAACUACUG